rnacentral:tRNA from 1 species
AGGGUAUAGCUCAGUGGAAGAGCGCACGCUUAGCAUGCACAAGGUCCUGGGUUCAUUUCCCAGUACCUCUA